rnacentral:rRNA from 1 species
GGGAGUGAAAUAGAACCUGAAACCCUGCACUUACAAGCUGUGGAAGCACAUUUCUUGUGUGACCGCGUACUUUUUGUAGAACGGGCCAACGAGUUACGUUAAGUAGCAAGGUUAAGCACUUAAGGUGCGGAGCCGUAGCGAAAGCGAGUUUUAACUGAGCGUUCAGUUACUGGACGUAGACCCGAAACCGGGCGACCUACCCAUGAGCAGGAUGAAGCGAAAGUAAAAUUGCGUGGAGGUCCGAACCCACGAGCGUUGAAAAGCUCGGGGAUGACUUGUGGGUAGCGGUGAAAUUCCAAUCGAGCCCGGAGAUAGCUGGUUCUCCCCGAAAUAGCUUUAGGGCUAGCCUCAAGGUGAGAGAUACGGA